CGGCUGUCCUUUAGUGGUGCAGAGGGUGGUUGGAGGCCUGGACUCAGAUUUUGUCUGUUAAACAACAAUGACAACCAACCAAACCAAAUCCUCCUCUACUGGUUACUCCCAGGAAGGCCCAAGUGAGAAACCUGGGUGACCUUAUCUAAGAAGUCUCACUGUGGGGUCUUAGAUCAUAUCUGAAGAACUGUGGAUAAAACACUAGUCAGGAGCUUAUGUGGAACAUACAGUAGACGCUGACCGUUACUAGAUUCAUCCAAACUAUAGGAAAGGAAUAUCAAGCCCUUGAGAAAGUCAGCUUGGGCAGCGGGGAUCAUGCCAGCCUUCUCAUGGGGAAAAAAAGGAAGAAUUACAGUUUGUACAAAUGUCUUGCUCCUCUAUCUACAGCACUGGACAAACAGGGAAGAGGGCAGGAUGGGAGGGAAAGCCAUCAGAUGUGACCUUGCUAGGAGGGGCUGCUGUUUUUCUAACACAGUCUGCACCAACAGGCCUGACAGGGGAUUCUCUUGGCCCCUGCACUAUGAGAAGUCUGCUCAUGAAGCAGAGACCAUAGCUGGCAGGGCGAUGUGACACAGAAUGAAUGAUGGGUGGCUACAGGAGCAAAGACCCUCCGUGUGAGGAUCCCCACUGUUUUACUCCUGUGCAUAUAACCACGGAAACUGCAUGCCGUCCCACGGAGAUGCUGUCUUCCACAUCCCUGGCUGCCUUGCUCACCAGGGCAAGGAAUUGGAAGUGGAGUCAGUUUGGUUUUCUAUUAAUGGAGGAAUGGAUAAGGGAAUUUGGAGAAAUAUGUAAAAAUAUGUGUGUAUGUAUAUAUGUAUGUAUGUAUCUAUGUAUGUAUCUAUGUAUGCAUGUAUAAAGAGACUGCUAGCAAAGUGAUCUAGAAUGGUGUACCAAUACGACCGAGUUCUGCAGGAAUGAGAGGAAGAGGACCACGGAGGUUGGGAAGUUGAAGCCACGAGGAAGUGUGGACAGGUGAGACGUCCUUUCUCCACUCAAGGCUGAGGCUACCAUUCAGACUGUGUGGACAUGGGAACACAGACAUACAGACAGGCUGGUGAAGACACUCGCCUCUGACCUCAAGGUUAUGUUUACGUAAGGCCACACGAAUGUGGCAUUUUGCCAGAAAUGCUUAUCUGUCGGAUUAUGUCGCAGCCUGCUCUGAGUUCCCGAUAUUCGGUGGCAGCCACCUUUAGUUGAUUCACACUGGAUAUGUAUGAUCGACUCCACACGGCCUUUAAGCAGCCCUUUGGGCAGUAUCUAGGCGACCUCACUCCAGAUGUGGGCUUGAGUGUCUCAAGGCCUACUCUGAGACAUUGCUCAAUUCCCUAGGAAAAGCUCAGGUUCCCAGUUCCUGCACAUAGGGCAGGGCAGGUCUCUUGGGGCUUGCUCCUAGAGCACUCUUCUCUCCACACAUGUUUAACCUGCUGAGUGGCAUGCACGCACACAUAGACACACAUGUGCACACUAAUUCCCAAGAGAGCAAGGACAGGGGGCUGCUUGGCCACCAACACGAAUCGUCCCUUCAUGUGCAGAGAGCCAGCACUCCCCCAGCUCUGCCAGCUUCAAGCAAGAUCAUUCUAGAGUCAUAAGGGGUCUCCGAGCUAAGCCAGCCUUAGCCCUUCCGGGUGCUUAUCAUAUAAGGAUGCGGGAAGAGCUUAAGGUACUCGAGCAUGGUAAGAAGGCUAUCAUGAGUGUGCACAGCAUCCAGCGUGCUGCUCUGGGUCCGCAGCACCUUCGAGGUAUGCAAAGCGCAUUGCAUGGCAAACAUGAACACAGCCCCACUCUUCACUGAAGGAGGAUGGUGCCGAGGCUUGGGGUGGGGGAGGGGUCUGCAACCACAGAGCAUCGAGGGAGUCAUAGGCUCUAAGGAGCCACAUGUGUCCUAUCAGAGAUGUGAUUUUAGAAGAAGACCAGAGGGAGACAAAGAGGGUGAUGUUGACAUUUUUCCAAAGAGGAAAUCAAGUGGCCCGAGAAGGAUUUUGAAGUCACCCACCCCUGGGCUCCGUGCAAGGCAUUUGCUGGUGAGCCCUGAUGCCACAUGCCCCGUUCCUACAAGGAGAAACGGAGACUGGCUGGGGGUGGGGUGGGGUGGAGUAGGGUGGGAUGGGCUUGCUGACAUCUCCAGGAGAUAGGGAGGUGCUAAAAUACACUUUUAUACUCGACCAUUGUGAAACAGUCUUGUACUUAUUUAUAUAAGCUGGGGUGGUGUCUCACACUAAAAUCCUAGCUCAGUGGAGGCAGGAGCAUUGUCAUGAAUUGGGGGCCAGCCUAGAAUAUGGUAUGAGAUGCUGUCUUUAAAAAAAAUUAAGAAAGGAAUUGGGGAUUUAGCUCAGUGGUAGAGCACUUGCCUAGCAAGCGCAAAGCCCUGGGUUCGGUCCCCAGCUCCAAAAAAGAAAAAAAAAAGAAAAAAAAAUUAAGAAAGGAAGGAAGAAAUACAGGCUCAAAAAUCCAUGCCAGUUUCAGAGAGAGGUCAGGAUUCUUUAAAGCUCUGUUCUUGUGUGUGUGUGUGUGUGUGUGUGUGUGUGUGUGUGUGUACUAGGUGUGUCCAGUGCUGCAAAGGUCAGAAGAAGACGCGGAGACUACAUGUAGGGAGACAUCCUAUGUGGGUACUGGAAGUGGAAUUAGGGUCCCCUGGAUGAGCAGCAGGUGUUCUUGACUGCUAAGCCUUCUCUCCACCCCCAAGACAUUAGGUUUUAGCCCAUCUAUCACUCACGGAUAAUGAAGCAUCCGCCACAGAAUUGUUUGCUUCAAAACGAACACCCGUAAUUGCCUUGUGAUGUGUCUCGUGGGCCCCUAAAUUGGAGAGGGUAUGGAUUGAUGAGAGCUGGUUUCAUAAAGCUCCCCCAGGUUUUGAAAUAUUUUUAUGAGGCAGGAAUAAAACCGUCUAAUAGCCUGACAGUCCUGCCGCUUCACGUGUGCCGGUGAGGGGGGGUGGCUUAGAUGAGAGCGUGUGGGCAUUUCAGCUUGCACAAAAGCACUCUAAAGAGGGGUGGUUUCAGCAUUGUCUCCUGAGAACCUCAGGGCAGCUCUUAAGACGGAAUUUAUAGGCAGGCUAGCUAAGAGCCUGCGAAUGAACGGAAUACAAACUGGUCCAAGUCUCACCGCUGGGCUUUUCAGAGCAGAUUUAAAUGUGCUCUGUUUGAAGAAAUAAGUUUCUCAUAUCCCAUCAAACGGGUGUUUCUGAGAUCCACACUUCAUGGUUCCUGACCUAAGUCCUUUUCUUGACUUUUUUUUUCUUUUCCUUUCUGAAGCUCCUCUAAAGUCAAUGCAGUGAGACUUCGGAGACAUGGUUGGGUCCCAGGUCUCACCACGUUUCCCAGGGCAGCUCCUGAUUCCUGGUGGGGCUGCCAAUGCCUCCCACUGUGUUCAAAGCAUGUCAGACACUCAAGUAGACGGUAGACAAAGCAAUGGGUGUGUUAACAAAUGUGGCAAGACAUCCAUCCAUCACUGAGCCCGAGGAGGAGGUACUUACUUCACAGUGCGUUCGUUUGGUGGAAAAUACCAUCUGUUUAUGACUCCAAGUGAUAUUUCACUUUUAGGCGUAGAUAUUUAAGAAAAACAAGAUGGUUGCAUAGUAAGGUGGGUGAUGUAUCUCAAGUAUUUAAGCCUUCCUAGAUGUAUAAAUAUAUCAUUGCCUAUGCACAGACUCACACAACUCACUCACACACCCAUACAUUCAUGCACACACUCUCACACACACUCACACACUCAUACACUCAUGCACACACUCACACACACACUCACACACCCAUACACUCAUGCACACACACUCUCUCUCACACACACACACUCACACACCCAUACACUCAUGCACACACUCUCUCACACACACACACUCACACACACACUCUCACAUACACUCACACACAUACACACCCACAGACACUCUAAUACAUACACACACUCACACAUACUUAUACACUCUCACACUCACACACUUGCCCCCUCCACAUUCACACAAACUCUUUUACAUACUAACACACAUAAUCACACACAUUCAUACACACACACUUUCACACUCAUGCAAAUGCCCACCCACACAAUCUCAUGCAUACUUGUGUACUCACUCACAAACCCCCCACAUACUCUCACACAUAGUUCCACACUCAUCCGCACACUCAACACACUUACAUAGGCUCUCUUACACAUACUCAUACACACGAUCACACACACUCUCACACAUCCUCACAUUCACCUUCACACAUACUUACACACUCACCCACACACCCACACAUUCACACUUUCACUUAUGCAUACACUCACUCUCACGUACACUUUCUUGCACACUCACACAUUCAGGCAGAAGGUCCCUAAGGUUUGAAGGUUGUCUGGUCUGCAGAAUCAGUGCAGCUUCCUCUCUCUGAGUGUGGGCAGCAGGGACAGAGAAGGAAGAUUUCGAAGGAGGGUCUCCAACUGAGUAACUACACAUUCGUUUAAAUCAGUUUGUAAGGUUUGUCCUGGGUGGGUCUGGCCUCUUUAGAGGAGCCUUUUAAAAAAGCUGUGGGAGUCUAAAGAGGAAAGAGACACAGUGGAAGCCUGGGAGUGUGCUUUGAGGAACCCAGUGCCCACUCAAUAGCUCAGGAAAGCCAUGUGGCCAGUACCUAACGGUGUCCUCAAAGCUACAAUGUGUCCCACAGCCCAGGCAGCCAAAAAAGAGGGACUAUCAUCCUGUAGCUACAUGAAACUGAUUUCUACUGGCACACAGGGAAGACCUCAAGCCUCUGCUGAGACCAGAGGUUCAGUCACAAUGAUUUCAGCUGAGACAUCAAGAAGAGAACCCAAGCUGUGAGUCUGUGGAGCAGUGCACAACUGCACGGAUUCUGGGGUGUAGCUUGUUACUCAGCAAUAGCGAACGGACACGGGCGGGAGUUGCUGAGCGUAGCCGACGUGAGCAUGCGUAGUUGAUGUUGUGGUGACGUCAGCAAAGAGAGUAGGGUAAUUACGACCAGCGCAUGUUAGGAAAUACUCUGGGAAGGGAGCUCAGCUCCGUCAGUAAGCGCCUGUCUGAGUUUAAUUCCCUAGAGCGAGUGUAAAAGCCCAGUGUUUCCUUGAAUGCCUAUAAUCCCAGCACUGAGGAGGCAGAGACAGGUAGAUUCCUGGAGUUUACUGGCUGGAUAGCCUAGCCAAUCAGAAAGCGCCAAGCCCAAUAAUGGCUGCUUGGAAGCAGUGAAUACAGCCUAGAGAAGCAUACGUGGUCCCUCUUUGGCUGUCAGGCUAUGGGAAGGGUGGACUGCAAGAGAUUAGAAUUUCCCCAGGGAUCUCCUGCCUGGAGAAGAUGUAAUGAUCAGAGGAAAAACUUGCCUCCUGAAAACAAUUUAUAACGUGUCAGACAGCCUUACCGGAGAGGCUUGGAGUGGAGACAGGGUGCGCAGGACCACACCCAGGCUGGACUGCUUAGUUAUGCAUAACUCAUGCCAGGAGACCCCCAAAGGGGUAGGGAGGACAGCUGAAGUCAGCAGAGACCUUGGAAUCUACUGAGGGGUUGCCGGGAGAACAGUUGAGAAAGAAGUGAUUAGAAUGGCGUGUUGGUCGACACCAGCCAUGGUCCCUUCCACGGUGUGUGCACACUUACUUUCACAGCACUGAAGCAGAAGACGUGGAGCAGGGCUGCUGCCAGGACACUCCGGCCCACGCUGUACACAGCCGAUGUGAUCCCGGAAACGGCUGGAAAGCAAACACCAUACAGCUUACUGGACGAGCCCUUCUCUAAACUGGCAGAUACUCCACAGGAAAUCCAAGUUAAAGCGGGUUUGGACCUCAAGGCAAAGCAAACCUUCCAGGUGGACCCUACCCUCCAUCCCCAGGACCAUCAGACUUUGUCCAAACUUGAAGCCCUUCCCAGGAGAAGCCGGUGCAGAGACUCACCAGAACCCCCGAAGAGCAACAUGUCGAUCUGUUCAAGGAGGACCAGCCUGAUUGGUGGGAUUCGAGCCAGCUGUGCUUUCUGGAGUCUCAUGCGGCAGGCCCCAGCUCAGGUGUGCCCUGCCUCUUCUGAGACUGGAUUUCCCCAUCCGCAGAGUAAUCACAGAGCCGGGCUCAGGCACAGGCUCUUGCUGAAGUUAACCAGAGAGGCAGUAAUAGAAACCCAGCCCCAGGGCCAGCAGCCUCCCAAGCUGAGGAAGAGAGUGCCAACUGUAGCGGCCAUUUUCCUGUCUCCUGAAAAUGUGGGCCAAGAAGAUUCUCACCAAGGAGAGAAGACAGGGAGAUACACUGAAUGCUCACAGCUCAGCCCAAGUAAAAACUCACGCAGAAUGUUAUUCCUGGCUGGGAUUAGAGGUGUGGCCUGUAAUCACACCUCUUUAGCCAGCUGAGACAGGAGGACUACAAGGCCCAAGGCCAUUUGAACUGUGGGAUGAGUUUGAGGCCAGGUAGUAAGAAUCACUGAAAGCCUAUGAUCUCAAAAUAAAAACUGAAAGCCUAUAAUCUCAAAAUAAAAA